rnacentral:tRNA from 1 species
GCGGUCGUGGCGGAAUUGGCAGACGCGCACGGUUCAGGUCCGUGUGGGCUAACUCCCGUGGAGGUUCGAGUCCUCUCGACCGCA